rnacentral:rRNA from 1 species
UUGCGGUGAAUACGUUCCCGGACCUUGUACACACCGCCCGUCAAGCCAUGAAAGUCGGGGAGACCUGAAGACGGUAACCGCGAGGAGCCGUUUAGGGUAAAAUCGGUAAUUAGGGCU